AACGAACGCUGGCGGCAGGCCUAACACAUGCAAGUCGAACGCUCCGCAAGGAGAGGGGCAGACGGGUGAGUAACACGUGGGAAACUUCCUAGGGGUACGGCAUAGCUCCGGGGAACUUGAGGUAAUACCGCAUACGCCAUUCGGAGGAAAGAUUUAUCGCCGAUAGAUGAGCACGCGUCUGAUGAGCUAGUUGGUGGGGUAAUGGCCUAUCAAGGCGACGAUCAGUAGCUGGUCUGAGAGGAUGACAAGCCACACUGGGACUGAGACACGGCCCAGACUCCGACGGGAGGCAGCAGUGGGGAAUAUUGGACAAUGGGCGCAAGCCUGAUCCAGCCAUGCCGCGGGAGUGACGAAGGUCUUCGGAUUGUAAAGCUCUUUUGCCAGGGACGAUAAUGACGGUACCUGGAGAAUAAGCCCCGGCUAACUUCGUGCCAGCAGCCGCGGUAA
rnacentral:rRNA from 1 species